rnacentral:rRNA from 1 species
AUUGAACGCUGGCGGCAGGCCUAACACAUGCAAGUCGAACGAGUGGCGGACGGGUGAGUAAUGUCUGGGAAACUGCCCGAUGGAGGGGGAUAACUACUGGAAACGGUAGCUAAUACCGCAUACCAUCGGAUGUGCCCAGAUGGGUUUAGCUUGUAGGUGAGGUAACGGCUCACCUAGGCGACGAUCCCUAGCUGGUCUGAGAGGAUGACCAGCCACACUGGAACGGGGACAGGGUCCAGACUCCUACGGGGGGCAGAGGUGGGGAAUAUUGGACAAUGGGCGCAAGCCUGAGGCAGCAAUGCCGCGGGUAUGAAGAAGGCCUUCGAGUUGUAAAGUACUUUCAGCGAGGAGGCGUUACCCUCAGAAGAAGCACCGGCUAACUCCGUGCCAGCAGCCGCGGUAAUAC